GAGUUCAAAUAAGAUGGAUAAAUUAUGAUGAAAAAGUCAAAUAACUUUUAUUAAUAAAAAUUCAUAUAUAUUUACAAAAGUGAGCACAAUCAUCAACAAGCUGAUGAUUAGUUUUGGGACAUAUUUCUCAACAUGUGCACAUUUAAUGAAUAUUUGAUACAUAUUAGUGAAUAUAAAGUAUAAGACCUUUAAAUGUUUGAUAGUCCUUUGUUUAGAUUACCACACCAAUCCAAGACGAGCAUUAAACAUGCUGUGGAUCAUUAUAACUAGUUUAACAAGAUAUAAAGAGGAUAUAAUAUGAUAUCCCACCU
rnacentral:lncRNA from 1 species